rnacentral:rRNA from 1 species
UAUCUAGUUGGAGAUGGUCCGCUUCACUGGUAUCGGAGCUCGGAGGCCAAUUGGCUUUUCUUUUCCGUCCCCCUCCCUUGAGUGGAGUUUGAGGAGUUUUUACUUCAAAUGUCUUGAAUAUAUAUUUGUAUAUACAAGAAGGAGGGCUAUCACUAAGCCUUGUGGAUUUGCAACUACAUUCAUUUAUUCAUUCAUUGGGGCUGCUGCCAAAUGGAGAGUUUUGUUUGGAAAAGCCUCUCGGACGCGCUGCCUGCACUUUUCCCAGAUCGUAGGGCUGGACAAGAAGAAGAAGAUGGUUUUUAGCCCUUUGAGAUGGUUUGUAUCUCCCUUUUUUGAGCAAAACAUGCAUGCCAGCGUUGGUACACAAGAGGGCUCGCCGAACCGUACGUACGAGAUGAUAGUCAGCUCCUCUCUGUAUUCUACAACUUCCGUCGUCGUAGUAGGAGAGGAUGGUUGUUGGAGUUUUUGACCAUCAUGGGGGCUUCCAGGCCGGGCGAAGGCGCAUGUGGCUUAAAAUUGGAUACAACAACGCGUAAAAACCUCCUUAGCAGCCCUCUCCUUGACAUACGAAACGCCCGGCUCGUCGUAAGAGUGGGAUGGAUGGAUGGAUGAUGUACUUUUUGACUUCAUACAGGUGCUGCAUGGCUGUCGUCAGCUCGUGUCGUGAGAUGUUGGGUUAAGUCCUAUAACGAGCGCAACCCUCGUUUUGUGUUGCUAAGACAUCGCAACGAUGUGCUGCACUCACAAAAAACUGCCAGUGAUAUACUGGAGGAAGGUGGGGAUGACGUCAAGUCCGCAUGGCCCUUAUGGGCUGGGCUACACACGUGCUACAAUGGCAAUGACAAUAGGAAGCAAGGCUUUAAGGCGGAGCGAAUCCUGAAACAUUGCCUCAGUUCGGAUUGUUCUCUGCAACUCGAGAACAUGAAGUUGGAAUCGCUAGUAAUCGCGGAUCAGCAUGCCGCGGUGAAUAUGUACUCAGGCCUUGUACACACCGCCCGUCACACCAUGGGAGCGGGUUCUGCCAGAAGUAGUUAGCCUAACCGCAAGGAGGGCGAUUACCACGGCAGGGUUCGUGACUGGGGUGAAGUCGGAACAAGGUAGCCGUAGGGGAACCUGCGGCUG